rnacentral:rRNA from 1 species
GACGUAGGAGACAAACGUUAUCCGGAGUUACUGGGCGUAAAGGGCGUGCAGGUGGUCUGUUAAGUCUGGCGUGAAAGCUCCUGGCUAAACCGGGAGAGGUCGUUGGAUACUGGCGGACUAGAGGACGGUAGAGGCGUGUGGAAUUCCGGGUGUAGUGGUGAAAUGCGUAGAGAUCCGGAGGAACACCAGUGGCGAAGGCGACACGCUGGGCCGUACCUGACACUGAGGCACGAAAGCGUGGGGAGCAAACAGG